GGAGGCUUAGCCGGCUUAGCCGCGGCCGCCGCACUUGGCAAGAGCGGACAGCGCGUACGCGUGCUUGAAAUGCGCGGGUUUCUU
rnacentral:tRNA from 1 species